CUACGGGGGGCACCAGGUAAGAAUUUUCUGCAAUACACGAAAGUGUGACAGAGUGAGUCAAAGUGCUUUUCAACGAAAAGCUUUUGCCAGAUGUAAAAAAUCUGGCGAAUAAGGACUGGGUAAGACGGGUGCCAGCCGCCGCGGUAAUACCCGCGGUCCAAGUCGCAGCCAUCUUUAUUGGGUCUAAAACAUCCGUAGCUUGCUUAAUAAGUUUCUUGUGAAAUCUGAUAUCUUAAGUAUCGGACGCGCAGGAAGUACUAUUUAGCUAGAGACUGGAAGACGUGAGAAGUAUGAUUGAUGUAGUAGUAAAAUACUCUAAUCUCAAUCAGACUAACAAUAGCGAAGGCAUCUCACGAGGACAGUUCUGACAGUAAGGGAUGAAGGCUAGGGGCGCAAAACGGAUUAGAUACCCCCGUAGUC
rnacentral:rRNA from 1 species